AUUACUUUGGCAGAUUAGUGCAAUUGAUUUAGAAUCAUUUUAUGUAAUUGUUGUUACAGGUAAUA
rnacentral:tRNA from 1 species